ACAAGGUUGAUAGGCUGCGUGUGUAAGCAUGGCAACAUGUUCAGCUUGGCAGUACUAAUAGGCCGAGGGCUUGACCAUA
rnacentral:rRNA from 1 species